AAAGCGUGCGCAGGCGGCUUUGCAAGACAGAUGUGAAAUCCCCGGGCUCAACCUGGGAACUGCAUUUGUGACUGCAAGGCUAGAGUACGGCAGAGGGGGAUGGAAUUCCGCGUGUAGCAGUGAAAUGCGUAGAUAUGCGGAGGAACACCAAUGGCGAAGGCAAUCCCCUGGGCCUGUACUGACGCUCAUGCACGAAAGCGUGGGGAGCAAACAGGAUUAGAUACCCCUGU
rnacentral:rRNA from 1 species